rnacentral:rRNA from 1 species
AGGAAAACUAAACUCUAGAAGGCUCGUUUUCAUGCUGCCCCCGUUCGCGGUGUGCUCAUGGGACGCGGCUUCUUUAUAAUCACAAACGACUCUCGGCAACGGAUAUCUCGGCUCACGCAUCGAUGAAGAACGUAGCAAAAUGCGAUACUUGGUGUGAAUUGCAGAAUCCCGUGAACCAUCGAGUUUUUGAACGCAAGUUGCGCCCGAAGCCUUUUGGCCGAGGGCACGUCUGCCUGGGCGUCACGCAUCGCGUCGCCCCCCACAAUUCUCCGCAAAGGGAACAUGUGUUUUGGGGGCGGAUAUUGGUCUCCCGUGCUCAUGGCGUGGUUGGCCGAAAUAGGAGUCCUUUUGACAGACGCACGAACUAGUGGUGGUCGUAAAAACCCUCGUCUUUUGUUUCGUGCCGUCAGUCGUAAGGGAAACUCUUAGAAAACCCCAACGUGUCGUCUCUUGACGACGCUUCGACCGCGACCCCAGGUCAGGCGGGACUACCCGCUGAG